CUACGGAGGAUCCGAGCGUUGUCCGGAUUUAUUGGGGUUAAAGGGUGCGCAGGCGGCCAUUUAAGUCAGCGGUUAAAUCGUGGGGCUCAACCCCAUUCUGCCGUUGAUACUGGGUGGCUUGAUUGCGGUCGAGGUUGGAGGAAUUCGGUGUGUAGCGGGGAAGUGCAUAGAUAUGACGAAGAACACCGAUUGCGUAGGCAGCUGACCAGACCGCAAAUGACGCUCAUGCACGAAAGUGCGGGGAGCGAACAGGAUUAGAUCCCCUGGUAGUCGGCACAGUAAACGAUGAAUACUUGUUUUCGGCGAUAUAAUGUCGGAGGCAAAGCGAAAGCGAUAAGUAUUCCACCUGGGGAGUACGCCGGCAACGGUGAAACUCAAAUGAAUUGGCGGGG
rnacentral:rRNA from 1 species